UCGCUGGAACAGAAAUUUUUAAACGCUUUAUCAGUUGUAUACAUAAUUAAAACUUCCAAAUAAUCUUACAAUAUAAUGUAUUUAUAUUCAAUUAGUCUUAUUUACUAAAAUUGUUGUUACAGUGAAAAGAGAAAUCGAUUCUUUCCCGGAAACUUUAUAAGCAAACUUAAGGAGCACACCAGUUCAAUAAGUAAUUCGACCUCGAUUACAAUGAUAUUCAUUAACUUUGUUGUAAGUUGCGGUUUACAAUUGAAAUAGCACGAAACAGGUGCUCCACUUUCGGUUCUCUUCUCUUUUCUCUUUUCCUCAAGGCAAUCCUUCUAUUUUAUUUUAUUUCAAGAAAGUAUCGUUAUUGUUGCAUCUCUCUAAUUUUAGAUCUGAAUAUUUUCACCAUUUCAUUCAUCGCAAUUAUUGUUUCGUCAACAGCUUCUCUGUUUUCAAAUCAUAUCGAAAAUGUUUCCAUAAUAUUCAUGAUUGCUUGAAUACACAAGGACAUGUUUGCGUCGCAAUGCAAUUACGCGACGGAAUAGAGGCGUUGGGACAACUUUUCCGGAAACAUCGAUUCGUAAAUCAAUUACACAAUCUGAUUACGCUUCGAAAUUAUUGGCGUCUGACUCAGCGGCGUGCGAUUGAUUGUUUUCUUGUUCCGCGUGUUUGAAAGUGAGAAAAAACUGGAGGAACAAGAAACAGCGGGAAGAAUGAUUCGCAUGGCGAACGUGACGAUUGAUGUGAACGAACCACUUUGAAAUACCAAUAAAGGAGACAUUGAAAGGUACGAUGAUGGAUCAUCGAGGGUCACGUGAAGUUUCAAGUAUCAGGCAACAUUGGUGAAUUAUUGAAGGAAUUAACCCAUUCGUAACCAUGAUCCAAAUAUGAAGUACAUCAAGUAAUUUAACUUUGUAAUGGGAAAUGUUCCAAGGUGUUAGAAAUGAAGGCCUUUACCAUAUAUACCUAUAAAAAAAAAAAA